rnacentral:rRNA from 1 species
AUUGAACGCUGGCGGCAGGCUUAACACAUGCAAGUCGAACGGUAACAUGAACUAGCUUGCUAGUUUGAUGACGAGUGGCGGACGGGUGAGUAAUGCUUGGGAAUAUGCCUUGGAGUGGGGGACAACAGUUGGAAACGACUGCUAAUACCGCAUAAUGUGCUUUUUGUAGUGAAAAGUACCAAAGGGGGGGCUCUUCGGACCUCUCGCUUCUUGAUUAGCCCAAGUGAGAUUAGCUAGUUGGUGAGGUAAUGGCUCACCAAGGCGACGAUCUCUAGCUGGUUUGAGAGGAUGAUCAGCCACACUGGGACUGAGACACGGCCCAG